rnacentral:ncRNA from 1 species
CCUUUGCGCCCGUAUUUAGGUUGUUUGUACACGGUUGUGUACACACAUUAAAAGGGAAUCAGGUACGAAUGAUUAUUUCAAAUUUUGAAUUGUAAAUUUUAAAUUAUCGAUCAAAUCCUGAGCUGUACCCGCAACUGUAUGCUACUAAGCUUGUUUUUACUACAAAGCCAUUGCUCUUUCGGGAGUGAGAAGGUAAAAAACAAGACGCAAGCCAGGAGACCUGCCUCAAUACGUGGAGUAUC